rnacentral:rRNA from 1 species
GAUGAACGCUGGCGGCGUGCCUAAUACAUGCAAGUCGAGCGAACAGACGAGGAGCUUGCUCCUCUGACGUUAGCGGCUGACGGGUGAGUAACACGUGGAUAACCUACCUAUAAUACUUGUAUAACUUCGUGAAACCGGAGCUAAUACCGGAUAAUAUAUUGAACCGCAUUGUUCAAUAGUUAAAUACGGUUUUUCUGUCUCUUAUAGAUUGAUCCUCGCCUCAUUAGCUAGUUGGUAAGGUAACGGCUUACCAAGGCAACGAUGCGUAGCCGACCUGAGAGGGUGAUAGGGAACACGGGAACUGAGAAACGGAACAGACUACUACGGGAGGCAGAAGUAGGGAAUAUUCCGAAAUGGGCGAAAGCUUGACGGAGCAAAGCCGCGUGAGUGAUGAAGGUCUUAGGAUCGUAAAACUAUGUUAUUAGGGAAGAAAAAAUGUGUAAGUAACUAUGCACGUAUUGACGGUAACUAAUCAGAAAGCAACGGCUAACUACGUG